GGGGUUGUAGCUCAGUGGUAGAGCACUUGCCUAGCAAGCGAGAGGCACUUGGUUCAAUCCUCAGCACCA
rnacentral:tRNA from 1 species